ACAAAAGGUGUUCCUCUAUAUAGU
rnacentral:siRNA from 1 species